rnacentral:rRNA from 1 species
CCUACGGGUGGCAGCAGUGGGGAAUAUUGGACAAUGGACGAGAGUCUGAAGCAGCCAAGUAGCGUGAAGGAUGAAUGCCCUAUGGGUUGUAAGCUUCUUUUAUAUGGGAAUAAAAUGUUCCACGUGUGGGAUUUUGUAUGUACCAUAACAAUAAGGAUCGGCUAACUACGUGCCAGCAGCCGGGGUAAUACGGAGGAUCCGAGCGUUAUCCGGAUUUAUUGGGUUUAAAGGGAGCGUAGGUGGAUUGUUAAGUCAGUUGUGAAAGUUUGCGGCUGAACCGUAACAUUGCAGUUGAAACUGGCAGUCUUGAGUACAGUAGAGGUUGGCGGAAUUCGUGGUGUAGCGGUGAAAUGCUUAGAUAUUACGAAGAACUCCGAUUGCGAAGGCAGUUCACUGGACUGUAACUGACACUGAGGCUCGAAAGUGUGGGUAUCAAACAGGAUUAGAUACCCGAGUAGUC